GCUGGGCACAGUGGUGCAUGCCUGUAAUCCCAGCAGCUCAGGAAGCUGAGGCAUGAAGAUCACAAAGUUCAAAGCCAGCCUCAGAAAAAGCAAUGUCCUAAGCAACUCAGUGAGAGCCUGUCUCUA
rnacentral:sRNA from 1 species